GAAAACCACCCUGUGGCAGUCAAGUAUUUGCAAAGUUAUUUCAACCCUUUGACGUUGGCUUUUCCUGUCACCACGAAAGAGAUUUCACUGAGCGUUGGUCAGCUCGCUCACUAACAACGAACAUGAGCUGGGUUUAGACUGCCACGAGACAGUC
rnacentral:ncRNA from 1 species